rnacentral:rRNA from 1 species
CCUAACACAUGCAAGUCGAGCGGAUGACGGGAGCUUGCUCCUUGAUUCAGCGGCGGACGGGUGAGUAAUGCCUAGGAAUCUGCCUGGUAGUGGGGGACAACGUUUCGAAAGGAACGCUAAUACCGCAUACGUCCUACGGGAGAAAGCAGGGGACCUUCGGGCCUUGCGCUAUCAGAUGAGCCUAGGUCGGAUUAGCAGUUGGUGGGGUAAUGGCUCACCAAGGCGACGAUCCGUAACUGGUCUGAGAGGAUGAUCAGUCACACUGGAACUGAGACACGGUCCAGACUCCUACGGGAGGCAGCAGUGGGGAAUAUUGGACAAUGGGCGAAAGCCUGAUCCAGCCAUGCCGCGUGUGUGAAGAAGGUCUUCGGAUUGUAAAGCACUUUAAGUUGGGAGGAAGGGCAGUAAGCUAAUACCUUGCUGUUUUGACGUUACCGACACAAUAAGCACCGGCUAACUCUGUGC